ensembl:lncRNA novel transcript, antisense to GOLGB1
AAGUUUGUUUAGGGCCUGAGCACAGGGGCCCAGCAGGUUCUUUCCGACGUCAGCGGCUGCGUACGGAGGCCGACUUAGGCAGGCCGCUCCAGGAACAAGGCCGUGCGGACAGGACUGACCUAGGCGCUUUUCCCCGUCGCUCCCAGAGGAGAAACGUACCGGGGAGGGGACAGACCGUGAGCAAGUGGUCCAAGUCUGCGCAGGGUGACCCCGAAGGCCCACCGGAGAGGCCGAGGCUUGUGGGCUACUAGAACUAGGCCUGGUAGGUGAAGGAGGCGGGUGAAGGGCCGGAUCCAGGACUGAAUCCGGGAGAGGCGGGGCGAGGAGGGGACUCCGGUGUAGCUGCUUGGGCAGCUCCCGCGGCCCCUCUGGCGGGGGUGACCGUUAUUGGACUCGCAGAGGGAAGAGUUGGGUAGCGUCCCCUACUCACCUAGAAGCGCUGCCGCCUGAGGCUCCAGCUGCCCCCCUCCCAAUUCAAGCCACGUCAGCUCGGGAAGCCCGUACGCGACACCUUCCACCGCCGCGCCCCGCCAGGGACUCAGCCACUAGCAGUUGGGACGGAAGAUGGGAUUAAGACACCGACCAAUCAGGACUAUCGGCAGGACGUUACCAGGGAGACCAGGCACACCUUGUUUGUUACCAACCUAUCAACAAUGACGGAAACCAAUCAACGACAGAAGAUGCUCCGCUUCCUCAAAGAAACAGCCAAUGGACCCUAAAGAGUGAAUGAGGGGAGUGAUUAGACGCGAGUAGGUGCCCCGGAACAAGAUCUGGGGAGGGACAGGAAGUGUCGAGUGGGCGGGCGUUCUGGGAAAGGUCAGAUGUUCUCAGUGUGAAGUGGUUAUGCUGGCUUCCUCCAAUUCCUCCUCUUCGUCGGUUGUGACUGACCGAGACAGCGGCUUGGGCUUCGGCAGAGACUUGAGACUGCGGGCACCCGCUGCCAUUAGGAUUGUUGAAUGAGCUGUGAGAAGGGAGUGGGGGAUAUGGGACUCUUAGAUUGAAAAAAUACUGGAGCCUCUUAGUUGUUCGUCUAGUUUCACCUUUUGAUUUUGUUGAUGAAAAAUAAUUAACCACAGAAGUAACUUGCCCAAAGUCAAACAGCGACUUAGUGAUGGAACUCGGACUAGAACCCGGUGUCAGUAUGAAAGAGGAUCAGCAAUGUCUGUAAGGACAUGAUUGUGAGAGAGAGAGUAGUGAAUACUAGGAAGGUGCCUCUUACAAAGUGGAGCCUAAGCCAGGACCUAAGCAAAGAUUGAGAGUUGAGGGCUCAGGCUCUGCAAUGAGUGUCAGUGAGGAGCUCCAGCAAAAGACUGAAAUCACUCAUGCUUUCCUUAAACCCCUAAGGAAAGGGAAGGAAAGUAGCCAGUUUCCAAUGAGCUGUCAUUUCAGGCACUCUCUUGGCAAUAAGAGUAAUGUUAGUUUGAAUUUAUUGAAUCUUGCUGUGCACUCAGCUGGCCCAUUGUAUGUAUACUCAUCUUAAUGAUUACAUAACUUCACAAUUCAAACAUCAGCUAAGUAAGGCCUUUCCUGGCUGCCCAUCUUACGGAACUGGAGGUCAUUAUUCUAAGUGAAAUAAGUCUGGCACAGAAAGACAAAUAUCCCAUGGUCUCACUCAUGUGGGAGCUUAAAAAGUUGAUCUCAUGGAGUAGAGAUAAGUACCAGAGGCUGGGAAGGUGGAGUUGGGGGAGGGAGGGAAGAGAUUGGUUAAUGGGUACAAACGUAGAUAGAAGGAAUAAGUUCAAGUGUUUGAUAGCACAGUAGGGUGACUAUAGUUAACAAUAUGUUAUAUAUUUCAAAAUAACUAGGAGAUUAGAAAUGUUCCAAACACAAAAAUGAUAAAUGUUUGAGGUGAUAGAUAUCCUAAACACCCUGAUUUGAUCAUUACACAUUGUAUGCAUAUAUCAAACUACCACACCCCAUAAAUAUGUACAAAUAUGUAUCAAUACAAACAUAAAUAAAAUUGCAAUUUCCUGCAUGCACUAU